GGUUGACCUCGGAUCAGGUAGGGUUACCCGCUGAACUUAAGCAUAUCAAUAAGCGGAGGAAAAGAAACCAACAGGGAUUGCCUCAGUAACGGCGAGUGAAGCGGCAAGAGCUCAAAUUUGAAAUCUGGCCCCUCCGGGGUCCGAGUUGUAAUUUGGAGAGGAUGCUUCGGGCGUGGCCCCCAUCUAAGUGCCCUGGAACGGGCCGUCAUAGAGGGUGAGAAU
rnacentral:rRNA from 1 species